rnacentral:rRNA from 1 species
GCCAGGAUGUUGGCUUAGAAGCAGCCAUCAUUUAAAGAAAGCGUAAUAGCUCACUGGUCGAGUCGGCCUGCGCGGAAGAUGUAACGGGGCUAAACCAUGCACCGAAGCUGCGGCAGCGAACGUAUCACUUAAAGCGAUUCAGCGGGUUACGAUUGACGGAGCGAAGCGACGUCAAAGCGUAUACAAAGUCGAGUCGGUUUAAGGAUACGUUCGUUGGGUAGGGGAGCGUUCUGUAAGCCUGUGAAGGUGUGUCGUGAGGCAUGCUGGAGGUAUCAGAAGUGCGAAUGCUGACAUAAGUAACGAUAAAGCGGGUGAAAAGCCCGCUCGCCGGAAGACCAAGGGUUCCUGUCCAACGUUAAUCGGGGCAGGGUGAGUCGACCCCUAAGGCGAGGCCGAAAGGCGUAGUCGAUGGGAAACGGGUUAAUAUUCCCGUACUUGGUGUUACUGCGAAGGGGGGACGGAGAAGGCUAUGUUGGCCGGGCGACGGUUGUCCCGGUUUAAGCGUGUAGGCUGGUUUUCCAGGCAAAUCCGGAAAAUCAAGGCUGAGGCGUGAUGACGAGGCACUACGGUGCUGAAGCAACAAAUGCCCUGCUUCCAGGAAAAGCCUCUAAGCAUCAGGUAACAUCAAAUCGUACCCCAAACCGACACAGGUGGUCAGGUAGAGAAUACCAAGGCGCUUGAGAGAACUCGGGUGAAGGAACUAGGCAAAAUGGUGCCGUAACUUCGGGAGAAGGCACGCUGACACGUAGGUGAAGUGAUUUACUCAUGGAGCUGAAGUCAGUCGAAGAUACCAGCUGGCUGCAACUGUUUAUUAAAAACACAGCACUGUGCAAACACGAAAGUGGACGUAUACGGUGUGACGCCUGCCCGGUGCCGGAAGGUUAAUUGAUGGGGUCAGCGCAAGCGAAGCUCCUGAUCGAAGCCCCGGUAAACGGCGGCCGUAACUAUAACGGUCCUAAGGU